ACCCUUAUCCCCAGCACUUCCACUCCAGCCUCACCAGCCUGCUCCCACCUCAAGGCCUUUGCCCUUCCCCUCCAUCCACCUGGUGCACUUUCCAGCAGACACCUAGCAGGGGCCUAAACGAAAUGGAGUCGCAAACCUUGUCACCGUCUUGGGGAAGAGCCUUCCAGGCAGAGAGAACAGGAGCCCCACCACAUACAGGAGGAGGAGGAAGUGGAGAGGAGGUGAGAGAAUUCUCUGAAAGCUGGUCUGCCUCCAGGACCUGUGCCCUCUGCCCCCUGCUCUGCGGCAUAUGGCUGGCCCAGGGCGCUCGAUUCUGCCCACCCCCGUCCAACUCCAGGUU
ensembl:lncRNA